CAACCCUCAGCCGUUAUUUGGGUGCUGAUGAUGCGAGGCGUCCGGUCUGAGAUGAAGACACCCUGCCCUAGGUACCAGCUGGAGAUGUUUUGUCACUUCCAGGACACUGGAGACGGAGGGAGUCACCUGAGGGAGUUUCUGCUGUCCUUGCCUCUGGAUGAUUUUGCUAUUUACAGGUGGAGAGCUAAGCUCCAGUGGACAAUGGAUGCCCGGAACCUAUUUUGCUGUUUUUGAAAUUCUUUUCUGAAAGCAUCCUCGCUGUUUGUAUUUGGAGGCAUACACCACUGGGACAGAUUCUGGCAUCAUCCUUUGAUACCUAAAAUGAGUGUAUAAAUCGACACUGGACAAGAAGGCUGUCUGGGACAGAUGGGUCUGAGAAGAUAAAAGAAACUGAAGAUUCCCAGUGAGCCCAGCCAGCCAUGCCUGAUCCACCAUGGAAGCUGACUCUGAUUCCAUUUUCACCAGGAGUAACCAUGAUUACUUCAAACAUGAGAUCCACAGUCUGGGUCUUCAGCUGUCUGCCUUCAGUCUUGCCCAUAGGACCUGUGUGAUUUACCCUAUGUGAAGAGGAGCCCCUCUGCCCUUCUGAUGUGGCACAACAUGCAAACUGGUAAUGAUUUACACAAUUGAAGAGAAAAGACCAAAUCCCAGGAGAAUGCAGCACAGGUCAGCACUUCCCACGAUCUGAAUUCUGUACCUGGGAUCUCUCUGAAUCUGGAAAUGAGCCACCUAGUUGUGACUCUCACCUGUCAGAUCCCAAGAAAAGCACCCUGUUCUGAGGGUUUCGGGGAUUGAAACAAGAAGAAAAUUCAGACGCACACUCUAAGGAACUGUGCUUCCUUGAAGAUCAUUGGAAGCAUUCACGGCACGUGCAAACACUUGAAAAUAUGCUUGUGCGAGCUCUUGGGUGUGCACAAAGGCAUGUGCUGCUCCACAGAGAGAAAGUACAGUCAUUAGAAUGAACUCCCUGGGCUUAUGUGUUUCAUAUAUACAGCUUUUAGGUAUGAUCUCUAUAGCAUGUUCACAUAUGGCCUAUGACAGCUGACUCUUACCAUCCACAGUCAAAAGGAACUGGAAGUUUGAAGAAUCUUUUAAUAACAAAGUCUACAAAUGUUUUUAAAGCCCUCAGCAUUGGAACACGCACACUCACAUGUGCUCAGAAACCAAAGAGAUCGAAUGGCUUGACUCUGCAGAGAGGAAGUCUUGCUUGGCCAGUGUGCUUCACAGAGAGGCAGAGGAGCCCCACCCUUGGGGAGGUCAUAUUUGCUUACAUGGAUUUAGCCUAUGGUGAGCAGCCCCAGUUCCUCCUGAAUGAUGAACAGCUCUCCUCAUUCUUUGUGUGACAAUAAUCGGGGCCUCUCUUUUACUCUGGGAUAAUCACAGUUAUUACGUUGAUGUUUUCUCUCAUCUGCCAAGAGAAAACUUGUCACAGUUCCCUGGGCCUCUCAAUUCCUCACAUAUCAAUGAAACUCUGCCCACCUCGAUUCUAGUCCUUCUCCCUCCCCCAGAGUUUCACAACCUUGGCUGCUCCUGUGCUUUGCUGAGUACCCUAUAAAGGCGCAGAUACUGAGCUGAGCCUGAGAUGUCCCUCAGCACAUCUGGGCCUAGGGUGGUCCCUGCAGCAGCCAGCAGGUCUGCUCAGGGAUCUUGAGGUGCUGAGGGGAGGGCCCCAGUGCUCUACUGCCAGAUGCAGCUUCCCUGCUUAGGCCCCCUCACUUAAGGCCUAAGUGUGGUUUGCUUCACAACACUCCCUGGAGUGUUGGGAGUGAUGAAUGGGUCCAAGCUCUCUACUCCAUGGCCUUGCCUUCCUCAUCUCCUAGUGGACACGCUGCUCAGCACUCUUUACCCCAGCGUCUCUUCCAUCUCUGCAAAGGAUUGCACACUGUGUGGAUGUAUAUGAAGACCUUAUUUGAUUUCUAUUCCCAUGUCCUCCACUAAGGAGGAGCUCAGAACAGGGCACAAAGGGAACUGAGUCCUCCUCCACUUAGAAUUAGUCAGUGAGCCUAUCUGCCUUCUUUUCCUGUGUGACAAUGUCUCUCUAUCCAAGGCUGGCCAUGUUCUUGUAGGAAACCUCCAGCUUAAUGGCUGGGAUUAUCAGCAUUAGCCACCACUAGAAUGGAUAAUUCUAUCAAAUUGAAGCAGAUUGUUAAUUCAAGAGUCUCUGAAAAUGAAUCAAAUACAAAGUCAUCCAAUCCAGUGUGGCCAGGCCGUGCCACGCACUGUUCCCUCUCUGCAGUGAUAUGGACAGACACUGACCCUGGAUAUGUUCUCAAGAGUGUCACAGGAAGCCAAGAGGUAAGACAGUCUUAGAUGAGGGAGGAGUUCUCGUUCUUUACCAGUGUCUCACACAGGACUCUGCAUGCUUCUAUCCCUCUCUGAGUCGUCCUUCAGGCAAAUGGAGGCUCUGUGUCCACAGAUCAUUUUCACAGAGAACAGGACUUUGAUGUUUGGAAGUGCAAUGGACAACAGGGUAGUCUGAUGCCACAGGGCCCUGUGUCGCUAAAGACCAGGCAGCCUGGAAUCAAAAUGCUAAGUCCUUGGGAUUGCCUGCAUGAGCCCCUCUUUGCCAUUAUGACCUGAAGUGGGCUGAAAAUUUCCUCUCAAGUCAGGCGAAGGCUGACUGGGAGCUGUGACUGUGGACUUUGCUCUCAGCUUGAGUGGAUGAAGCAAUAUUUCUGGAUUUGACUGUGAAGUGAUUCUAGAGGAACUUAUGUGUGGGUUCACGGACUUGGUAGGCAAGGUGCCCCCUCAACUUAGGUGGCUAUGUGAAGCCAUCUGAGAGCUGCACUGGAAGAAGCAGUGUCAGAGCAGACACUUCCUCUGCGUGUCUCCUGGGAUAGACCUGCUUUAUCUUUAGCUUUCUUCAUCAGAUUUCCAAACUGGGUGGCUGGACUCUGAGCUCAGAGUAAGCUUGUGUUACAGUAGGCUGUUGGGACUCUCAGACUGAGACAAAAGUAGCUUCGCUGGUUUGUGCCUUUCUGACAUGGUAUGCAUCAAACUACCAGUAUUCCAGAGCUUCCCUCUUGCAGAAAGCCUGCUGUGGGGAUGCUCAGGCAUAUAGCCCUAGGGGCCCCAGUAGAGCAAUGCUGUAGGGAUGGGGCAGCCCCUUGAGACCCUGAAACUGCCAGGCGAUCCAUGUGCUCACGCAGUCUGGAAAAGCUACAGCUCGAGACUCCAACUGUGAAAGCGUACAUGCACGGAGCCCAGCAGAGCCACAGCAGUAGCUCCUCAACUUAGCUAGAUGGUGUCACUCCUUUCCCGAUUAUUUCUCCCAGAUGAACAGGAACUGAACAGCUCACUGCUGCUCCUUCAUCACAUUUUGCAAGUGUUCGGAGUGCUGACUGCAGAGGCCCACAGCUGGAGAAGGCUCUCUCUCACCUGCAUCUAUAAGUGUGCAGACUGCUGACUGCACAGGGCCACAGUUGCAGAAGGCUGACUCACCGUCAGGAAGCCUGGUGGUUACAGCUGGCAAGGCUAACUGUCUCACCCCUGUCUAAAUUGAGGCAGAGCACUACAAUUUGAAGAUCAUCCUCAUCCGAGAAGAGGUUUUGAUUCAAGUCAAAGCUCAUUUUUACAAGACAGUCAGGGUGGCAGGACACAAAAGGACAGCGCUCAUCACACGAGGUUCUCUACCACAGCAGAGUAAGUGGGACCAUGGAAGCAGACAAGACCGAGGACGUCGACAAGGGGACACAGCCUUUUCUGUGGUGCUUGGUGCUCCAGACUCCAGCACUGCCUCACCUUACCAGUGAGCUCCAGUCUCACUCCUGGGUGACUGACCCAGACGCAAUGGGGACCACUUCUACACAAGUCUUUUCUAAGUCAGGAACCCGUGGUGACUUACCUGGCCUUGUUGCCAUCACAUUUGCCCCAGGCUGAGUGGCUGGUGCUGAUGUGCUGGGGGCUAAGUCCUCAGAGGCUUCCUCUAGGCCACACCCCAGUGCUGACUUGAAAGGUGCGGUUCCUACUGAAGAGGCUUCAGCCUUCGUAGAUGACCAUGCUGCACUAGGGCUCACCUCCACACUCUUUUAUUUUCUUCAUCCCUAACUACUAGCCCAGCUUGAUGAGAGCCCCCCUUGGCAAAUCCUUCUGAGGUUUUUGUAGAACGUUUUUGAUAUCUUCCCAGAAAGCAACAUUCUAUGUUCCUUCCUAAUACAGAAAGAGAAAAAGGGUUAGGCUAACACUUCAAAUCUCUGGAGAGAAAGUUUGGUCAGCACAGUGAUGACCAAAACGUAGUUCAGGCCUGACGUCCCAGCAUAGAAUCUGUGCUCCCCUCUAUAACCAUAACCAUAAUGGAGCCGUGGUACACAGAUGCUAACCCAUGUACUCAGUUGCUAUAUGGAUGUCUUCUGUAACAGCUAAGUCUGUUUUCUCAGGAACUUAAACUUCACUUUUUAUGUGCAAACUUGUACAUGUGUAUGCGAUCACAUGCACAUGUGUGCAAGUGAGUGUGGAGGUUUGACAUAGAUCUUUGGUAUUUACUUCCAGUUUGGUCUACCUUAUUUUUUUUCUGAGAAAGGGUCCUUAAUCUGGAAACUCUCACAGUUGGCCUGGCUGGCCGGCCAGGGAGCCCCAGGGGUCAACCUGUAAUUGCCUUAGUGCUGUGACUAUCAGCAUGCAUUUUUAUUAUCAUUAUCCUUAUUAAUCCUUGGACUCUUGGGUUAGGCUCAGGUCCUCAUGCUUGCCUGGCCAGCACUUUAUGAGCUGAAGGUCUCCAGCCUUCAUUUUAAUCUUUGCUGUAAUCUUGAUCCACCUUCACUGUCUGUCCCCAGAAACCUGUCAUCUACAGUUCCAUUCUGUAGCUAUGUUGAUACAUGUAUUCUGUAUCCCAAGCCAGGCAGAAGAGUCAGACCAACACCACAGCUGGUUUUAGCAGUCUCAGCUAAAAUCCAUUCAGAAACAAAGACUCCAGUUUUGCUCCUAAAGGUCACUAGAGUUCAGUGAUGUGAAAAAAAAAAAAACCACUAAAUGUCAUGUAAUAAAUUUUCACUCAGUGCUUUGGAAAUGUUUGGAUGACAGCAACUCACCCCUUCUGGCCAUCAACACAAGCAGAUGGAACAAUCUAGCAGACAGAUACAUAACAAUGUAUAAGUGACUCCAUUGUACAUUCCUGCCCAACACCAGAGCACUGCAGAGCACUGGGAUCACCUCCAGGAGCCAAAACUAUACCCAGCAAGACCACUGCAUACCCCUGGAAAGAUCAGUGGCUACAAAAAGGUUGUAAGGCAGUGGUUCUCAAAUGUCCUGAUGUUACAACACUUUAAUACAGUCCCUCAUAUUGUGAUCCCAA